rnacentral:rRNA from 1 species
ACAGCAGUCGCCGCGGGAAUACAGAGGGUGCGAGCGUUAAUCGGAUUUACUGGGCGUAAAGCGUGCGUAGGCGGCUUCUUAAGUCGGAUGUGAAAUCCCUGAGCUUAACUUAGGAAUUGCAUUCGAUACUGGGAAGCUAGAGUAUGGGAGAGGAUGGUAGAAUUCCAGGUGUAGCGGUGAAAUGCGUAGAUAUCUGGAGGAAUACCGAUGGCGAAGGCAGCCAUCUGGCCUAAUACUGACGCUGAGGUACGAGAGCAUGGGGAGCAAACAGGAUUAGAUACCCCCGUAGUCCCUGUCUCUUAUAC